rnacentral:rRNA from 1 species
AUACCUCUUCGUGUAGAAAGUCUUUGAAUGUUUUUACAAUCAUCGAGUCGUGACUUCUAGGAGACGCGAUUCUUUGAGACAAAAGUUAUCACAACUUUCAGCAAUGGAUCUCUUGGCUCUCGCAUCGAUGAAGAACGCAGCGAAUCGCGAUAUGUAAUGUGAAUUGCAGAUCUACAGUGAAUCAUCGAAUCUUUGAACGCACCUUGCGCUCAUCGGUGUUCCGAGGAGCAUGCCUGUUUGAGCGUCAGUAAAUUCUCAACCCCUCUCGAUUUGCUUCGAGUGGGGCUUGGAUAGUGGGGGCUGCCGGAGACCUGGAAUUCAUUCUAGGACUCGGGCUCCUCUGAAAUGCAUCGGCUUGCGGUCGACUUUCGACUUUGCGCGACAAAUCUUUCGGCGUGAUAAUGAUCGCCGUUCGCUGAAGCGCAUGAAUGAAUGGUCCCGUGCCUCUAAUCAGUCUACGCCUUCUGGG